rnacentral:rRNA from 1 species
UACAGAGGGUGCAAGCGUUGUUCGGAAUUACUGGGCGUAAAGCGUGCGUAGACGGUCAAGUAAGUCGGGUGUGAAAGCCCCGGGCUCAACCUGGGAAUUGCAUUCGAGACUGCGUGGCUAGGGUGCGGAAGAGGGAAGCGGAAUUUCCGGUGUAGCGGUGAAAUGCGUAGAUAUCAGAAGGAACACCAGUGGCGAAAGCGGCUUCCUGGUCCAGCACCGACGUUCAGGCACGAAAGCGUGGGGAGCAAACAGG